GGAGCAGUGGGUCACGGCUGUCGGGCGUCCGGCUGUCGGGAGGCUCCGGCCGCCCCCUCCAGCCGCCCCCCGGUGCCGGGGCCCUUCCCUGCCCAGCUGCCCCAUGCCCACGCUGGACCGGUGCCGGGACGGAGGUGACUCUGUGCCGGGGCUGGGCUGGUGGCCAGGGCCGGUGUCUCUGCCAAGGCCAGCUUUGCCCCGGGGGCUCUCGGGGCGGGGAGGGAGGAGCAGGAGUCCCGGGGGGGAUAAAUCUGCCCUUUCACCUUCCCCAGCUGCAGCCGGGACUCUCCGCACAGCAGAGGAAGAUGAAGGUGGCAGUGCUCAGCCUGGCCCUGCUCUUCGCCGUCCUGCUCUGCACCCCGGAGGAUGCCCAGGCCUUCGAAGCAAGCGGAGGUUACUGCAUCGGGGGGGGAAUCGACUUCGGGCGAGUGAAGAGGGCUGCGGCCCCCCGGGCUGAGAGGCUGCUGGAGCUGGCGCGCCAGAGACGCAUGGCUGAGGCGGCCGAGGCCUAGGACUGGAACCAGCGGUGACACCCUCGUCCCGUCCCCCCGCAGCAGCACGAGGAGAUGAUCAUCCCUGGAUGCCCCCCCCGACCCCCGGGAGCCCCGGACCGUUGCCCUCUCGCCAUCAAUAAAC